CUAAAUUCCUUUUAGAGCUGCGGGCGGGGAUACCUGUGCGGCGCCCGGUUACCUGUGCCGACCUGGGAGGAAGGGCAGGGACGCAAAACAGGGAAUUUGGGCUGAGACGGAAGGGGCGAGCGGGCAGCGACCGGCUGCGGAGAGAGGCGGAAGCAAAGGGGACGGCACGGGCCGUCGGGAAGGAGCCUGAUGCCCCAGUUUUCAGCAAGGUGCAAGGCAACUGCCAUAGACUGUAUUUCCCAGCUUCCCUUACACAAAACUAAGCUUUGGCCAAUUAGGUGUGAGCAGAAGUAGUUGGUGAUACCUCUGGAAAGUGCGCUGAUAAAGGAUUCCCUUCUCCUUAUCUCUUCUCCUGAUUGGCUGGAAUGUAGACAGAUGGCUGGAGCCAGAUGGGCCAUUUUGGGCCGCGAGGUGGAAGCAGGGCAUGGGAUGGAAAGCCUCAAGGUACAGGAGUCUGGUGCCCAGUGAUCGUGGAGUUCCCCAUACGGCCUUCGGACUUCUUAACUCCACGUUUCUACGUGGGAGAGCAGUUUAGUCUCAGUAAUGUGGGGUUCUGGGACUGUAAAGACUUGCAUGUUGUUUAAGUCACAGUUCUGUUGGGUUUUCUGUCACUUGCACCCAAGCCUAAUGUUAAUUGAUAUGGAAGGCACUAUUCAUUAAUUCAGCUCACAUUUUUUUAAAGUUGGUAUCUAAUUUUUGUCAUCACAAGCCCAAAUAGUCCAAGUAAUGUUAUGCUGGCAUAAUGGAAAUAUUGAUAUUUAAAAAUAAAACACAUCAAUAUUUAAAUAUA